rnacentral:rRNA from 1 species
GACGAACGCUGGCGGCGUGCUUAACACAUGCCAGUCGAACGGAAAGGCCUCUUUCGGGGGGUACUCGAGUGGCGAACGGGUGAGUAACACGUGAGUAACCUGCCCUUGACUUUGGGAUAACUUCAGGAAACUGGGGCUAAUACCGGAUAGGAGCUCCUGCUGCAUGGUGGGGGUUGGAAAGUUUCGGCGGUUGGGGAUGGACUCGCGGCUUAUCAGCUUGUUGGUGGGGUAGUGGCUUACCAAGGCUUUGUCGGGUAGCCGGCCUGAGAGGGUGACCGGCCACAUUGGGACUGAGAUACGGCCCAGACUCCUACGGGAGGCAGCAGUGGGGAAUAUUGCACAAUGGGUGGAAGCCUGAUGCAGCAACGCCGUGUGCGGGAUGACGGCCUUCGGGUUGUAAACCGCUUUCGCUCAUGACGAAGCUUUGUGUGACGGUAGUGGGUAAAGAAGCACCGGCUAACUACGUG